rnacentral:rRNA from 1 species
AGACAUACAGGUCGAGCAAGGAUGAAAAUCGGACUUAGUGAUCCGGUGGUUCUGCGUGGAAGGGCCAUCGCUCAACGGAUAAAAGCUACCCUGGGGAUAACAGGCUUAUCUCCCCCAAGAGUCCACAUCGACGGGGAGGUUUGGCACCUCGAUGUCGGCUCAUCACAUCCUGGGGCUGUAGUAGGUCCCAAGGGUUGGGCUGUUCGCCCAUUAAAGUGGUACGCGAGCUGGGUUCAGAACGUCGUGAGACAGUUCGGUCCCUAUCCGUCGCAGGCGUAGGAAAUUUGAGAAGACCUGUCCUUAGUACGAGAGGACCGGGAUGGACGUACCUCUGGUGUACCAGUUGUCCUGCCAAGGGCAUGGCUGGGUAGCUAUGUGCGGAAUGGAUAAGCGCUGAAAGCAUCUAAGCGCGAAGCCAACUUCAAGAUAAGAUUUCCCACCGCAAGGGUAAGACCCCAGAAAGACUAUCUGGUUGAUAGGUCGAAGGUGUAAGUGCAGCAAUGUAUUUAGCUUAUCGAUACUAAUAGGUCGAGGACUUGACCAAU